rnacentral:rRNA from 1 species
UACGUAGGGUGCAAGCGUUAAUCGGAAUUACUGGGCGUAAAGCGUGCGUAGGCGGCUAUGUAAGACAGAUGUGAAAUCCCUGGGCUUAACCUAGGAACUGCAUUUGUGACUGCAUUGCUGGAGUGUGGUAGAGGGAGAUGGAAUUCCGCAUGUAGCAGUGAAAUGCGUAGAUAUGCGGAGGAACACCAAUGGCGAAAGCGCUCUGCUGGACCUUAACUGACACUGAGGGACGAAAGCUAGGGGAGCGAAUGGG